rnacentral:rRNA from 1 species
GACGAACGCUGGCGGCGUGCUUAACACAUGCAAGUCGAACGGUGAAGCGCCUUCCUUUUUGGUGGGUGUGGAUGAGUGGCGAACGGGUGAGUAACACGUGAGUAACCUGCCCCCUUCUUCUGGAUAACCGCAUGAAAGUGUGGCUAAUACGGGAUAUUCUGGGUCUGUCGCAUGAUGGGUCUGGGAAAGAUAUUGUUUCGGUGGGGGAUGGGCUCGCGGCCUAUCAGCUUGUUGGUGGGGUGAUGGCCUACCAAGGCGGUGACGGGUAGCCGGCCUGAGAGGGUGGACGGUCACACGGGGACUGAGACACGGCCCAGACUCCGACGGGAGGCAGCAGUGGGGAAUAUUGCACAAUGGGCGCAAGCCUGAUGCAGCGACGCCGCGUGAGGGAUGGAGGCCUUCGGGUUGUGAACCUCUUUCGCCAGUGAAGCAGGCCUGCCUCGUUUGUGGGUGGGUUGACGGUAGCUGGAUAAGAAGCGCCGGCUAACUACGUG